CACGUAGAGGGCAAGCGUUGUCCGGAUUUAUUGGGCGUAAAGAGCUCGUAGGUGGUUCGGUAAGUCGGGUGUGAAACCUCCAGGCUCAACCUGGAGACGCCACGCGAUACUGGCGUGACUAGAGUUCGGUAGGGGAUCACGGAAUUCCUGGUGUAGCGGUGAAAUGCGCAGAUAUCAGGAGGAACACCGGUGGCGAAGGCGGUGAUCUGGGCCGACACUGACGCUGUAGAGCGAAAGCGUGGGGAGCGAACAGG
rnacentral:rRNA from 1 species